rnacentral:rRNA from 1 species
GGACGAACGCUGACGGUGUGCUUUAGACAUGCAAGUCGAACGAGAAAGCCCUUCGGGGUUAGUAAAGUGGCGAACGGGUGAGUAACACGUGGGCAAUCUGCCCCUCGCAGGGGACAACCGGAGGAAACCCCGGCUAAUACCCCGUAAGUUCAAAGGGAGGCAUCUCCCUUCGAAGAAAGGUAGCUUCGGCCAUCCGGCGAGGGAUGAGCCCGCGGUGCAUUAGCUAGUUGGUGGGUAACGCCCACCAGGCGACGAUGCAUAGCUGGUCUGAGAGGAUGAUCAGCCACACUGGGACUGAGACACGGCCCAGACUCCUACGGGAGGCAGCAGGUCGGGAAUCUUGCGCAAGUGGGCGAAAGCCUGACGCAGCAACACCGUGUGU